ACUGAGGGCAGUCUUUUAUAAGGUGUUGGGUGCUUUCGCACCAAUAAUAGGCGUGAUUGAUACAUCGACAAGGUAGGUCACUAUGCGAGCAACCACAAUGUUGACAAGGUGGGUUAGUUCAGACAAGUGGGACUGUAUGUGGGGGAAAAGUAGGAGGAAGGGCAAUUCUGGUUUAUUUGUUUGGGUGGUUACUUACUGGGUCAGGCAAUCUCUUUCUAAGUAUUAGGGCAGUUGUUGGGCUCAAACUUGAGCAAAGCAUUGGUGCUUAGCCGAGAUAAGAUCUUUGGACAACUGGGCAUGUUCAAGCACCUCUGUAUACGAGCUGGGGCUUAGCAUAGCGACUCGGUCAUAAAUGUCGACAUGAAGGCCCUUGAGAAACUUCCUAACUUUCUGACUUUCGAGGGUGACCAUCAAAGGCCCUUGAGAAACUUGCUACCAAUGUU
rnacentral:lncRNA from 1 species